GGAGCACUGGAGAGUUAGAGACUGCAAAAGAUUCUGUGGCUAGCUACACACGAGUUCUUAACGCGCGACGGGUGCAUGUUUAAUGGUCACGUGCUGUGAAAGGGACUGAAGAGCGGGUUGGCAGGGGAGAUCACUUGCUGUGUGAUUCCUGCGUGUGUACUUGUCCUAGCACAGUAGCUGUGUGGAGAAACCGAAGUGAGUUCAUGAUGUUCUCCCAUAGAAAUGUAUGUUUAAAAGAGAGUUUACAGUGCACUUUAUUGCCAGUUGACCUGCGAAGUUGUGGGAUGUAAACAAUGUGUUUAUUUGUUUUGUUUUCUCUUUUUUUUGUUGUAUUUGUUUCUUGACAGGUCACUACUGUUGUCUAUACUGUUUGGAUUUAACAUGUACAUAUGAUAGUUACUGUUGUCUCAGACCCUGAAAGGCAGUUUAGGCUGAGCCAGUGGAAUAGUUAAAUUUUGCCGUUUCACUCAAAACUACAGAAUUAAAACUGUGCUCCUCCGAGUACAGUCGGAGAAUAAAAAAGCCCACAAAAGAGUAUUUCCUGUGUCCUGUCUCAUUCCCCAUGACCGGGCCACAUAGUUUGGUGUCAGAAGUGGGAUUCUCAGGUUAGUUUUGAGUUUCAGUAUAGAGAGACACAGUGAGUGGGGCUUUAUAGACAACAGUAGUGGCUUAGAAGAUCCCAGUCCUUCCCAGAGGGCGGCAAUCGCAGUGUGGACGUCCUGAGGUGGUUCGGUGCAGUGGCAGUUGGUACAACAGGAGCCUGCUUCAGCCAUUGGACGAGGAGGGCGCCUGACACAGAUUUUGGACUGUUGAAUCUCAUCUACAAGUGACUGUGGGAAUCUGCUGCAGUAAAGACUCAGAGACAUUGCAGUAUGUCGCAAGAGGACGAAGGGGAAGGUCCUUCAGGGGCCGGAGCUAUCCCCACUGAAGACAGUCAAGCUGCCUCGUUGUUUGACAGUGCAGUUCUUAACGCGCGACGGGUGCAUGUUUAAUGGUCACGUGCUGUGAAAGGGACUGAAGAGCGGGUUGGCAGGGGAGAUCACUUGCUGUGUGAUUCCUGCGUGUGUACUUGUCCUAGCACAGUAGCUGUGUGGAGAAACCGAAGUGAGUUCAUGAUGUUCUCCCAUAGAAAUGUAUGUUUA
ensembl:lncRNA